UACGUAGGGCGCAAGCGUUGUCCGGAAUUAUUGGGCGUAAAGAGCUCGUAGGUGGUCUGUUACGUCUGCUGUGAAAACCCAGGGCUUAACCCUGGGCCUGCAGUGGAUACGGGCAGACUAGAGGUAGGUAGGGGAGAAUGGAAUUCCCGGUGUAGCGGUGAAAUGCGCAGAUAUCAGGAGGAACACCGGUGGCGAAGGCGGAUCUCUGGGCCAUUACUGACGCUGAGGAGCGAAAGCGUGGGGAGCGAACAGG
rnacentral:rRNA from 1 species